rnacentral:rRNA from 1 species
CUGUGCAAAGGUAGCAUAAUCAUUAGCUUUUUAAUUGAAGGCUUGUAUGAAGGGUCUGACAAAGAAAAAGCUGUCUUUAAUUUUAUUUUUGAAAUUAACUUUUAAGUGAAAAGGCUUAAAUGAAUUUAAGGGACGAUAAGACCCUAUAAAUCUUUAUAUUAAAUUUUUAUCUUAAAGAUUAAUAAUUUGUCUAGUUAUUAAGUAGAUAAUAAAUAUUUUGUUGGGGUGACAAGAAUAUAUAAUUAACUGUUCUUAUAUAAAACAAAGUUGUUUGUUUAAAUAAAAUAAAGAUCCUUUAUUAAAGAUUAAAAGUUUAAGUUACUUUAGGGAUAACAGCGUUAUUUUUUUUGAGAGUUCUUAUCGAAAAAAAAGUUUGCGACCUCGAUGUUGAAUUAAAAUUUCUCUACGGUGUAGAAGUUGUGGGAGAAAGUCUGUUCGACUUUUGAAAUUUU